UAAAUAUGCAUUUUAUUGUUCUGUUAUAUAUUUCAUUGGCCACAGCAAAUCAAAUAAUUUUUAUUAAUCUAUAUUUUAUUAAAGCUAGAAACAUGUACGUAACGAUUGCCAUAUAAUAUGUACCUAUAUAAAUCACAAUAAAUAACACAAUAUAUAGACACUUGGACACUCUACAGCACGGCUCUAUAGGGACACUUAAAAGGAACAUUGCGUGUAGUCGAGACAGGAUAACUUAAGUUUGGAAACAUUUGACGCGUCAUAAUAAUUAUCUGAUAAUUAUUAA